AAAUAACUUACGUGAUCACGCUUUGUCUGCCAUGUCUCAUAGGUAAUAAAAAUGUAAUGAAACUAAUAAAAAUGCUCUGUUCUGAUUGGCUGAACUACUGCACGCUAUCAACCGUUAGUAUAUACAGCGGUUAGAGGUCGUCCACAAAGUGGCGACAUUUGACCGCAUGAAAAGAGCCUUUAACAAUUAUUCCAUGAGCCCACAUUGGAUGCGAGCUGAUAGUAAUAACAAACGAGGCAACGAAUUUGUUAAAAUCACCCCUUAUCCAACAAGGGCGAAUGGAAUAGUUCUCUUAUUAGAACGACUGGAUGGAUGGUGUGGACAUUUCAGUUUGGUCUAAACGAAGCGAUGGCCUGAAAAAGGCGGGAAAAUUGGCGCGCGCGUGUUUCUCACUUUGGAGUUGAAUGGCGCUCGUCCCGAAAGCAAGCAAGAAAGAGGUUUCCUGUGUUUCUUCCGAAAUAUCCUUCUCAUUUAAUCGCUUCCAAAUUUGUCUACGUUCUGGAAAAAUGUGACAAACGACGAACGAUUUAAGGGAAGACCCGAAGAAGCAGUGUUGCUGAAAGUUAUACGGCGCCUUGUUCAAGUCAAAUGAAGCCAGAGUUUACUUGUUUGCACCGACUGUCAUCAUGAAGACUACAGAUUGUGUUGCUCAGAAUCGAUCGGGUUCACUGAAGCACAAAAGGACAAGACUCAAUUGUAAGCAGAGCAGAAAAGCACAAGUUCCUUCGCACCCAAAAGGAAGUGUUCCGCCCAUUUUCACAAAACAGGAACUUCAGCCAUUUCUGUGCCAUAGUGUAUCAUUUCUGAUCACCCCUUCUACUUGCUCCUUCUGGACUUUCAAAUCGAAAAGAUCGACGGUAAGUGGAUUGUGUGUAAAUUGUAUAUCAUGAACUGGACCUUUCCAGGGCUAACAAGGGGGAGCCUCCUAUUGCACGCCGUUCACAUAGACGGAAUCACGACAUUUCAAGCUCUUCAAACGCUUCCCGGAGUCAAUACUACAGUUUUCGCUUUCAUUCACAUUUUAGUUCCUUUACUCGCAUAUCUCAAUCGUGCUUGUAAAGUUUUAGAAUUGUGCUGUAGUUGUAUAGCCUGGCAUAGUUGACUAAAUUAUAGUUGUAGCUAUUUAUUGCUUAAGUUUACGUUCAUUUUCCAUAAUUGGGCUUUUCUAGUUUUAAGUUCUGAGUAUAUAUAUCUCUGCAUUUGUCCGUCACAAAUUGUUCUCUUUCAUGAGCAACAUCGUAAUAUAAUUUUUCAAGCACUUGUUAUCAUGUAGUUGGUAAACAAAAACAGUUAUGCUCGGAAUCUUUUCCUCGAUGCUCGGUUUUUUGGCUCAGCUCCAUCGUAAGUUUGGGUGUUGUCAACUUACUCCCUGUACAAUAGUACCUCGCUCAGCUAGCUAAAGUAAAUUUUGAGACAGGUGUUAGUCCGCUAAUCGACUUAGGAUCAAAAUAGUUCCCAUUUUUUCAAGUUUGAACACAAACAAGCCAUUAAGUGAGGUAUUGCUCUGUUCUUUGGGGUGACGGGGGCAGUGUCAGAACAGGGUAAUGUCACGAAUGAAACAAUCUUUAAUCUUUAAU